rnacentral:tRNA from 1 species
GGUUCUAUAGCUUAGUAGUUAGAGCACCUAUCUAGUGUAGACUAAUAUACUAUCACCUAUUUAGUAGUACAGUAGCGGUCGGUAGAAGAUCCUAGGUUCAAUUCCUAGCAGAACUA